AUUCCUAUUAGAUUUUGGCCCAAUUUCCUAUAGGAUCCUAUAGGAAUUCCUAUAGGAAAUUGGGCCAAAAUCUAAUAGGAAUU